rnacentral:rRNA from 1 species
CCUACGGGUGGCAGCAGUGAGGAAUAUUGGUCAAUGGACGAGAGUCUGAACCAGCCAAGUAGCGUGAAGGAUGACUGCCCUACGGGUUGUAAACUUCUUUUAUAUGGGAAUAAAACGUUCCACGAGUGGGAUUAUGUAUGUACCAUACGAAUAAGGUUCGGCUAACCCCGUGCCAGCAGCCGCGGUAAUACGGAGGAUCCGAGCGUUAUCCGGAUUUUUUGGGUUUAAAGGGAGCGUAGGUGGAUUGUUAAGUCAGUUGUGAAAGUUUGCGGCUCAACCGUAAAAUUGCAGUUGAAACUGGGAGUCUAGAGUACAGUAGAGGUAAGCGGAAUUCGUGGUGUAGCAGUGAAAUGCGUAGAUAUCGCGAAGAACACUGAUUGCGAAGGCAGCUCACUGGACUGCAACUGACACUGAGGCACGAAGGUGUGGGUAUCGAAAGGGAGUAGAUACCCCUGUAGUC